UCUAUCUUUCUGCUGCUUUCCAUCUUCGCUGACAAGGCAUGUCCAUUGAUAAGUGUGUAAAUUUGCCCAUAGAAGUAUUAAUUUAUCAAUCAAAUUAUCUUUAUUUUUUUAAAAUUGAUGCUUCUUCGUAUAUUUUAUAGAAAAAAGUACAUCAAAAUGAAGAGCCCAAUCCGCAGGCUUAAAAGGAUCAAAUGGGACAAAAAAAAUAGAGUUAAAAUAGAUUUAAAAUCAAAACUGAAAAUCCACCGAAUCAAUCUAUAAACUAAUGGUCCACCAUGGACCACUUGGUUUUCAUGUGGUUCACAAAGGAAAGAAUUUUUUGUUUUGGGUGCUUCAUGUGGAGGGAACCAAUAGUUCUUGAUUCAAAACUAAGAGGCCCACAUGCAUUGAAAGCAGAAGAAACAUUUUUUUUGUGGGUGCUGGAACGGCUUAUUCAUGAGGGAAGAAUAAAUAAAUAAAUAAAUAAAUA
rnacentral:lncRNA from 1 species